AAACCUGGACCCUGUGGUCCUCAGGCCAAGGCUCUAUCCACUGAGCCAAACCGGCUAGGGUAGGAUAUAAUAUUUCUUAGCCCCUCUAGCAGCGGACCUUCAUUUUUUCCUCCUGGAAUGAAGUGGAAAAACCCUAGAUCACCUUCUUGGAUUCUCAUUACCCAAGUUACCAAGAACACUGCAAGUGGCAUAGAGGGAGCUUAGGCAAUGAGCAGUCAGAAAAGGUAUUUCCUCUGCAGCUCACACGCAGAGGCGGGACUGCUGGUGUGCCAUCGUGUCUCCCAGCAGGGCCGAGCC